rnacentral:lncRNA from 1 species
GUCAUUCUCCUGCCUCAGCUUCCGGAGCAGCUGGGACUGCUGGCGCCCGCCACUACGCUCGGCUAAUUUUUUUGUGUUUUUAGUAGAGACGGGCUUUCACCGUGUUGGCCUAGCGGUUCUCCAACUCCUGACCUCAUGAUCCCCCCGCCUCAGCCUCCCAAAGUGCUGGGAUUACAAGCGUGAGCCACCGCGACCCGCCAACACUCUUGACAACAGUGCUGUGCUAAGAACUUGGGGGACUUCAAAAAGUUCACCAGUUCCUGUGUCCAUGGGUGAAAAGAUUUUCUACAUCUUUCCUUGACUAGAAACAGAAGUCCUGAAACAAGAAUAUAACGUCAGGAGGCCAGAGGCUUUGUCCUGCCUAAUGUGUUAUUUCCACACUGAAUAAAAGCACCUGAGUCCUGGUAAGUCUAAUUUGCUAGGUGUGGCAAUAUGACCAGUGAAAAACAACAAGGGCAGCAUUUCCUGCAGUUCGGUGGCACAGUAUGGUUCAAAGAGGUAUAAAAGGAAGUCACAGGCAUUUUAAAAAGGUUGUACAUCUAGCAAUACCUAACAAAAUAGGAAAUCAACUUGGAAAGCCAAUGGCUGUGUUUUGAGUUUAUGGAGAGCCAUAUGUGGCAAGGAACUGAGGGUGGCAUCCAGGCAACAGACUUCAAGAAACUGAGGCUGUCAGUCCAACAACCCACAAGAACUGAAUCUGACCAACAAUCACAGGAACAAACUUAGAAGUAUACUCUUUCCCAGACAAACCUUCAGAUGAGACCACAGCCCCAGCCAUAAGCUUGAAAACAAUCUCAUGAGGGACCUUGAGCCACAGGCAUGUAGUAAAGCUAUGCCAGGAAUCCUGCCUGCCCCACAGAAAAUGUAAAAAAAAUAAAUUUUUAUUGUUUUAAGCCACGAA